GGGUGUGGCGGGGCCCCUCCAGGCAGAGCCUGCCCGACAACCCCGAGAGAUUCGACUGCUGGCCAUGCGUCUUGGGUGUGCAGAGUUUCUCCUCGGGGAGACACUACUGGGAGGUGGAGGGUGACCUGUCAGCAUGGGACCUGAGGUGACACCAGACACUGUGGACUCGGGGUGAGGACAGCAGGAUGCACCAGGAUCUGAGGGCCUGAAGAGCCACCACUGGAGGUCAGAGGUGGAGGAAGGGGGACUGAGAGCUGGGACGGCCCACGCUGUUCGUAUGGUGGCCCCCCACACAGCCAGGGGUCCAGCACCAGAAGGGCCAUCCCCACCAUCCCCCAGAGUUCCAGCCCUCGCAGCAGAGCUCCAGGUGCAGACGAAUGACAGACAAGGACAGAAGGAUAAUGGACAAGGACAUCCCGGAUCUGACCUGGCUCACGUGUCCCUGCAGUAAAUCUCUGGGACAGUGGGGAUGGCCCCAGGUUUAAGGUCCUGGCUGAGCAGAAGCCUGGAUGCUCGUGUCUGUGGACGUGGGAACGUGGAAUCCUGCAGAGAGUUUUCAUGAGAGUUAAUCUGAGGCCGACUGCCGUCGUGGGGGGAGGACCUGACCGCUCUGGGGAACGACAGGUCCAGGGACUGUCCCUGUGUGUCCUGUCUGUUGCUUCCCUGGAAGCCCUCACCUCCAACCCUGGUCUUCCUCUGACCCGAGUCAGAGCUCCCCCAGUGAGAGCAGCCUCUUCUCCAGGGGCAGUUUGUGAAAC